AGAGCGAACGCUGGCGGCAGGCUUAACACAUGCAAGUCGAGCGGGCGUAGCAAUACGUCAGCGGCAGACGGGUGAGUAACGCGUGGGAACGUACCUUUUGGUUCGGAACAACACAGGGAAACUUGUGCUAAUACCGGAUAAGCCCUUACGGGGAAAGAUUUAUCGCCAAAAGAUCGGCCCGCGUCUGAUUAGCUAGUUGGUGAGGUAACGGCUCACCAAGGCGACGAUCAGUAGCUGGUCUGAGAGGAUGAUCAGCCACAUUGGGACUGAGACACGGCCCAAACUCCUACGGGAGGCAGCAGUGGGAAUAUUGGACAAUGGGCGCAAGCCUGAUCCAGCCAUGCCGCGUGAGUGAUGAAGGCCCUAGGUUGUAAAGCUCUUUUGUGCGGGAAGAUAAUGACGGUACCGCAAGAAUAAGCCCGGCUAACUUCGUGCCAGCAGCCGC
rnacentral:rRNA from 1 species